rnacentral:rRNA from 1 species
AUUGAGCACGUAGGUGGGUUUGUAAGUCAGAUGUGAAAGCCUUCUGUUCAACGGAAGAAUCGCAUCUGAAACUGCGAGUCUUGAGUGUAGGAGGGGAGAAUGGAACUUCUGGUGGAGCGGUGAAAUGCGUAGAUAUCAGAAGGAACGCCGGCGGCGAAAGCGAUUCUCUGGCCUAUUACUGACACUCAGUGUGCGAAAGCUAGGGGAGCAAACGGGAUUAGAUACCCCGGUAGUCCUAGCCGUAAACGAUGGGCACUAAGUAGAGGGG